AGAGAGUUAGUCCAACCAAGACUUCUAAUUUCGGCUUAGACAAUUAUGGUGAAAACCCAUAACCCUCUU
rnacentral:tRNA from 1 species